CAGUCGCCGCGGGAAUACGUAGGUGCAAGCGUUGUCCGGAAUUAUUGGGCGUAAAGGACUCGCAGGCGGUUUCUUAAGUCUGAUGUGAAAGCCCCCGGCUCAACCGGGGAGGGUCAUUGGAAACUGGGAAGCUUGAGUGCAGAAGAGGAGAGUGGAAUUCCACGUGUAGCGGUGAAAUGCGUAGAGAUGUGGAGGAACACCAGUGGCGAAGGCGACUCUCUGGUCUGUAACUGACGCUGAGGAGCGAAAGCGUGGGGAGCGAACAGGAUUAGAUACCCCUGUAGUCCCUGUCUCUUAUACA
rnacentral:rRNA from 1 species